UUACUAGAUUUAAACAUUUAACCAUAAAGCCAAGACAACAAGCAAAUAAGUUAUUACAGAUACGAUCUGCAAUUUCAUGAGAGUAAUAAGAUAUCGUAAAAAGAGGAAACUUCGGUGAAAAUAUCUUCACACUACGCAGUUUCAGUAUAAAUUGUAACGUGGCAAGUGAAAAUUUUGUCCAUUUUAGUUUCUACUAAAUUUUAUUCUGAAAAUCAUCAUAUUUUUUUGAAAUAAAAAAUUGAGCAAAAUGUCACUUUUUAGUCUUGUUAUAAUUUGCUUUACUUGUCUAGCUGGAAUUGGAGAAACUAUGCCUAUAGAUUUCAAUCUUUUUCACUACAUCCCACAAAGUAAGCUAUUUAUCUGUAAUAUUUCAGUAGAAUAAAGACAGAUUUAUUACAUUUGCGAUACAUAUCCGGCAUUUCAGGUACAAUGUGACGCUUAAAUUCCAUUGAUUUUUGCAUGAUCCGAGUUUUAAAAAUGUUAGCCUUUUUUACAAUAUUGCUUAUUUUAGAUUUUUAAUUAUGGAUAAUUAAUGAAACUCAUUGUUGUUUAGUGAUUAACUGGAGGAUGUCAAAUAAAGCACUAUUGCACUGAAUCAUCCUUUAAUAGAAAAAGUUAAUAAUCUAUCAAUAAACAAACAAACUCCAGAAAAUGGUUAUUCGUAAAAAAACAUUUUAAAAAUAGUUGUUAAAACAAAUAAAAACUUAAACUGUUGAAUGAAAGCAUCAUCUCUUGAAGGUGGCCGUCACCGAGGAAAACGAAGUAUCGGGACGAAAUCACGGACGCUGCAACAAUCAUGAUGGCAAAAUAUCGACUCUAAAUAUUGGACAGCAGCCUGUUCCCUCUUAGCCGUGGUUGUCGGUUGUGUUCAUCCGCAGGUAUCCUGGUCUGGUCUUCCUACCCUCGGCUUUCGACCUAAUCCUCGAUCCUUCUACCCCGGAAUUCCAUGAUUUCCAAGAGCUGUAACAAUUAAGAGCUUCUGCACUCAUACAUAAAAUAUUGAUAUAAACUGUUGGAAGCAGCUUCUUUUAGUACAUUAUAUUUUCAUUAUUAAGUAAGUGUUUGGGAUAGAUCCCAGUUAAUAUUAUAGUACUAAUAAGUAUAUAGAGUAUUCUAAGUUGAAACAGAAGAUUACAGAAACAUUUGCUGCCAAAACUAAAGAAGAUUUCACUAAAAUACAGGAGCAAGUAGCCAAUAGGUUGAAUUGCAAAAGAGAUAAUGCUCAUUCUUAACACAUUUAUGAUAAACUAAAAAUGUUACUGUAUUUUCUAUCAUGUAUAUAAUGGACAAAAAAUAUAUGGAACCGGUGUUUUCAUUUUAACUAUAUCUUUGAGAAAUGUACGACAUCGAUAUUCGUAUAGUAUUAUGUGGAUAUCCCUUAGGCAAAUAUUUAUAAAAAUAGAUGCGUAUGGAUAUUUAUUUGAUGUAUAUAUAAUUACUCAUUGCAUCUACACUUAGUAUCUCUUUUUAUAGAUGUCAGAAAUAUUGCUAAAGAUAUUGGAACCUACAUUGAAGAUAUUGGUAUCGGUAUGAAUACGAUUUUGUUUUUAAAUUUCACAAAUACUUAUAUAAUAAAUCAAAACUUGUAAUUAUGAGUUUACAGUGAACUCUCACUUGUGCACCGGUGUAAGG